GAGUUUGAUCCUGGCUCAGGACGAACGCUGGCGGCGUGCCUAACACAUGCAAGUCGAACGAAGCUUGAAUUCAGAUUUCUUCGGAAUGAAGAAUGAUAUGACUGAGUGGCGGACGGGUGAGUAACGCGUGAGCAACCUGCCCUUCGGAGGGGGAUAGUGUCUGGAAACGGACAGUAAUACCGCAUAACGUAUUUUUACCGCAUGAUAGAAAUACCAAAACUGAGGUGCCGAAGGAUGGGCUCGCGUUGGAUUAGAUAGUUGGUGGGGUAACGGCCUACCAAGUCAACGAUCCAUAGCCGGACUGAGAGGUUGAACGGCCACAUUGGGACUGAGACACGGCCCAGACUCCUACGGGAGGCAGCAGUGGGGAAUAUUGCACAAUGGGGGAAACCCUGAUGCAGCAACGCCGCGUGAAGGAAGACGGUUUUCGGAUUGUAAACUUCUGUUCUUAGUGAAGAAAAAUGACGGUAGCUAAGGAGCAAGCCACGGCUAACUACGUGCCAGCAGCCGCGGUA
rnacentral:rRNA from 1 species